GCGGGACCAUGGACGGAACGGACAAUUUUAAAGAGUUGUUGUUGUUAUAAUCACUGAUCAGUUUUGUUUUGUUACAGGAUUUGCUCACUGUGCCUGGCUUGUGCUAAUAAAGAGGAGUCAAGGCCUGCGUUCCUUGAUUAAGAAUAUGACAAAAAAGUGAACCUCCAAGAUACCUUGCGCGAUUUCAUAUCCUUCAAGUUCUUCAUUCGCCUGAAAGCGGGAAAAUGGGAAUUAAAUGGGAAGACCCGGUUAUAAAGUACGUACUGCUGUAAAGCGUUUUAGCGGUGACAUCGCCCAGGCGCGCAUGUUGCAUGCGGACGUCAGGACACAGCACCCAUGGCCAAGCUUAAGGGGUCAGUGCACGGCUCCAAGCGUUCCCGCGCGGAAGCAUCCCUUGACGCUGCGUCUGUGUGCACGGCAUGUUCAUCCGAUCGGGUCUGCGGACGAGCGCGGCUAUCAGGUGCAAGCUUAGCGCGGAACGGAAACCGAUUUACGCCUAUCUAAAUGCGGAUAUAAAGCGCGCAUUCGCCUCGGCAGGAACAGAAACGCAACGAGAACUUCCUGGAAAUUCCCGUUAACAGAUGGCAAGCGACCAGAGGGCGCGACACUAACGCCAUGGGAAAGGGGAAAGUGAGGCACAUCCCAAGUCAACCAGUUUGAGCACUAUAGGGCCCUGUCGCGUGCGUCACCGUAGCUCUCACUAGGGCCGGAGCAGCACAAGCAGAGCCGAACAAGAUCGGAGAGUAAGUGCUAGUACCGUAACAUCUCGCUGGACUACCGACUACUUAUGCAGCACGCUAGGCUUUGACGUUCUCGUGCUAUGCGGACCGGAAGCAACUUGCCUGAUAAGUGAACCAGGAAAACUAUCCGCCAGGAAACAGAAAAAUCCCGAGAUAUUACGUAUUGUGUGACUCGAGCCAUGCUUGCAAUUUACGUCUGGCGACGCGAUAACGUGGAUCAGCAAAGAGAUCCAUUGAGGAAACGCACGAUCCAUUGUAUACUGGGAAUUUGCAGCGACACCGACGGCGAAUUGCAUGCCUGAUUGUGGAUUGCGGUA